rnacentral:rRNA from 1 species
UACGUAGGGUGCAGGCGUUAAUCGGAAUUACUGGGCGUAAAGCGUGCGCAGGCGGUCUGUUAAGAGAGAUGUGAAAUCCCCGGGCUUAACCUGGGAACUGCGUUUCUAACUGGCAGGCUUGAGUGUGGCAGAGGGGGGUGGAAUUCCACGUGUAGCAGUGAAAUGCGUAGAGAUGUGGGGGAACACCGAUGGCGAAGGCAGCCCCCUGGGCUAACACUGACGCUCAUGCACGAAAGCGUGGGGAGCAAACAGG